CACCUCAACUCGAUAUUCGGCUUUCUCCUAACUCCAAAAGCUUCUGGAUCUCCUCACUCCCAUGUCCUGGGGCAAUCACCUACUGAUCAUGGAUGGACAAACAUGGGAGUCAAGCUAGGCCACUCGAUCCCAUCUCCAUCGAUGCUGUGCUCCUCCUAACCUGAGACCUACUCGGGGCAUCGUCCUGCGGCAAUAGAAAUCUCACCUUGCGAUGUCGCCGCUCGUCCUCUCGAGUCUCCUAUCUCAUGCUCGAUUCACCUCCUGGAGCUCCACCUCACACUGGACUCCCUGCCAGAUAAUAAUAUCUUCUGCUCCUCUUCUUUUCCUCCAGCAUAUUUUAUCACCGCGUAGCACCCUCAGGAUUCCUCCACCAGCUAUCAUCCUAUAGCCUCUCGAAUCCAAUCUGCUAAGUGAGAUAAGAUUUUGUCUAAAAUCGGAUAUAUAUCAGACCUCCCCCAAUCUCCUCACUGCACUAUCAUGUGUCCUCCAGCUGACCGUCCCAAUGCCUCUGAUCGCACAGCUCGAUCCAUCCGGUAGAUAUACGGUGCCCUCACUGUUCUCUAGGGAGUCAAAUUGCUCCUCUCUGCAACAUACAUGAUAGAGACAUGCAGAAUCUAAUAUCCACUACUGGAAAGAAGUAGAUACCUUGUCAGAUAUCUCUAGGA
rnacentral:lncRNA from 1 species